rnacentral:rRNA from 1 species
UUGGAGCCAGCCGCCUAAGGUGGGACAAAUGAUUGGGGUGAAGUCGUAACAAGGUAGCCGUAUCGGAAGGUGCGGCUGGAUCACCUCCUUU